GAUAGACAAUUGGACUAUCGGGGAAGAUAUUCAGGUAUCUUUCUCAAACCGCCCUGUGGUGCUUGUUUCUAAGGGAACAGGUAUUGAGCGACAGGGUCAAGGCAGGCAAACCAUAUUAUUGUUAUUGCCUGUAAGGU
rfam:Arenibacter sp. C-21 DNA, contig: C21_contig0010.